GUGGGUGUUGCCCAGGCUGUGUCCUCCUGUGGCCUUAGCAAAGUGGGAGCCGCUCUGUGCCUACAGGAGAGGCUUUGUGAGGCUGAAGAGGACACUGGGAGGUGAGGACAGAGGGGUUCAUAGAGAUUCCUCAGGAAUGACUCGAGCCCUCCCACCCAAGGCCCACCAGCCGCCAACCGUGUGUUGCGGAAGAGACAACCAUCGGUAAUUACGCCGCGGGAUCGGAGGGCUUUAACAGUCAGUUCCUGAACCUUGACAAGCUGCAGUCUGCUUUCAAGACUGACGACUUCCUGAACUGGCAUGCCCUCAGUGAUAUGUUCAAAAAGGCGUUUCCUUUCAUCAACUGGGAAUUCUUCCCUAAGGUAAAAGGACUGAGAAGUGCAGUUCCCGAUUCCCAGUGAUCAUUCUCUUUAAGACCUAGGACCUAGGCUGACCCCACGGAGAGGAGGCUAGCGUAAAAUCCGACGUCCAUUCUACGGCAAAUCUCCCCUGGCUCUGUACCUCCAAUAAAGUGUUUUCCACCAGUCGA